rnacentral:rRNA from 1 species
UACGUAGGGCGCAAGCGUUAUCCGGAAUUAUUGGGCGUAAAGAGCUCGUAGGCGGUUUGUCGCGUCUGCCGUGAAAGUCCGGGGCUCAACUCCGGAUCUGCGGUGGGUACGGGCAGACUAGAGUGAUGUAGGGGAGACUGGAAUUCCUGGUGUAGCGGUGAAAUGCGCAGAUAUCAGGAGGAACACCGGUGGCGAAGGCGGGUCUCUGGGCCGUAACUGACGCUGAGGAGCGAAAGCGUGGGUAGCAAACAGG